UUUUUUUUUUUUUUUUUGGUGUGUGAAGGAUGAAUUUGCAUCAUUCUGAAAGUGAAGGACUACAAAUGUAUAGAUGCAAUAUUUGAAGGACUAUUUGCUCAAUUAUCCCAAUAAUUUAUCAUCACAUGGUCAAAUCCAUCGACCUCGAAAUUCUAAACCUAAAAACAAAAAUCUCCGUCUUAAAUUGUACUUUGCAUCAAAAUUUCGAUUACCUCUAAGUGUUAAUCUACCUUUGCCGUGUUAUUUCCAGUAAUUUCGAUGGUUGAAAAAAAAAAACAAAAAUAUCAAGUGGACUCACUUUCUGAUCAAACUUCAUUCGUACGCAUGCAAUAUCCACUAUUACCUAACAUCUAAUGACUAGUUUGGUCCAGCGUUUGGUCCAUCCUAGGAUGUUAAACUGUUAAACCACAACCACAACCUAUUUAUUUAUUAUUUAAAAGUGGGACAGAAACAUCCAAAUAAUCUAGAAUUUGUCAACGGCAUGAAAAUUAUCCAACAAGUAAACGAUUGGACAGGCAACUUGCUUGUUGGUUGACACAGACAAAGAUAAUUCCACUAACAAUCUGCCUAAUAUUUCCAAAUAAGACAAACAUUUAUAUUUGCUACUAGUAGUACUACGUCAAGACCGCUGAUCAUGCACCUGACUUUGCCUUCUCAUGUCGGUAGCAUUCUACCAAGUUCUCAGGAUUUCAAAGACCCUACGUACUCUACUGCAUAAUCAGGCAUGAAGUAAAUAAGGGUUAAUUUCAAAAACCUCCCCCGAGGUUCAUUCUAAUAUCGCCUAGCGCUUUCUUAAAGUUUUAAAAGUCUCACUUACCUAUCCUAUCAAUAUGAUGUUACUAGAUGUCCCGAUUAGAGGGAUUGAAAUAACAAAAUUACCCCCAAUGUUCUCCUACUUUUUUUUUAAGUAGCAAAAGGUUGAGAAAAGAUUUUUUUUUUUUUUUUAAAAAAAAUCCUACAAGCUAAAAUUUCAAAAAACAAAUAAUAAGAAUGCGAACUAAAAUAUUUUGCUCCCUCUUUGUUGCAAAAAUCUAUACUUUUAAUUUUCAUCUUUGCCACAACUGAUCUCCUAAAAUUUUCAUUCUAAUUUUCCUCUUUGCAGCAAAAUUUUUGUGUCUCUUUGCUACAAAAUCUUUGCUCUUAAUUGCCAUUUCUAACCUCUUGAAGUUUUUUUCUUUUUAUAAUGUUGAAGUAGUUUCAGAAGCUUCCCUUGCAGGCACAGUAAUCUCUAGUUAUGAAAUGACUUUUAGGUUGUGUUUGGAUUGCAUUUUUUUGGAUUUUUUGUAAAAAAAAAUUACUGUAGCAAUUUGAUGUAUGUGAGGUAAAAAUGUAAUAGGGAAAUGUGUUCACAGAAAACGUAGCAAUUUUUCUGCGAAAAAUGGCUGUCCAAACAAGGUCUAAAUUUAUUACUUAUUGCUCUUACACCUUCUCAUAGUUUAAGUUUAGUAUUCCACCUUAUUUUUUUUUCAUAUUUCAACAUUCAUAAAUCAAAUUAAAUAAGGGUAAAAGUGGAAAGAUGAUAUAAUUUCUCUCCUCCAAUGCAUUUUUAAAUAUUAUUUUUACACAUAAGGGGUGACAAAAUGUUACAAAAAUUGUCAUUCCAGGGGAACUAUGUGAAAUUUCUGAAACUUUAGGGGUGUUAGUUGAAUGCUGAAUGAUGUAACUUCUUCCAUUGGUGCAGAUCUAUUCUUUGAUAUCUAUGGUGAAUGAUGAAUGAUGUAACUUCAGCCAUUUUCAGAACUAUUCUUUAAUAUCUGUGGUGAAUGAUGUAACUUUCAAAACUUGUUAUCCUACAUAUACAAAUUCGAGUAAUUUACAUGUUUAGUCCCUAAAUAAAAUUAAAAAAUCUCACAAAGUCCUCUCAAGGUGUAUUUUGAACUAUUGAGUCCCUAAACAAUUUCUUAAUAUUUCAUGAAAUCCUCAAGUAUUAUAAUAAACUUUUUUUUAGUCCAUAUGCUUUUCAAUUUGUACCAAAGUAGUCCUUCGUCUGGGUCAAUGAGUGCUUUCCAAAACCCUCCCCCCUCCCAAAAAGAAGUAAAAAAGAUGAAAAAGUGAGCCAAUUGAGAAUUUAUGAGAUUCAAUUCCACAAAAUCACCAUAUUCUUAUCUUGCAAAUGUGGUGUUCAUAUGAGUCAAAGGAACUUUGUGAGUUUUUAUCAUUCAUAGCCCCCAACGUUGCUGACCAACUUAUGCAUCAUACUCAACAUGUACAUUCUUGAAAUUGGUCCGUGGCUUCGAUAGGCAAGCAAAUAUGAGCAGUGAUUUUGGAUUGUUCUGAUUUUCUACACCCUCUUCUUUGGUUUUUCUUUAGCUCAAUUUGGUUUUUUUUUUUUAAAAAUAAAUAAAUAAACAAAGCCGGAAAGCAAAAGAGUUCAGAACAAAACUUGAGGGACUUCUAAAACUUAAGGAACAAAGGUGACAUUAUUCACAAAUCUUGCAGUUCAAGAAUGUGGAUCCAAACACAACUAUUGUGCAGAAAUUUCUUACAUGCAUUGCUUGAAGUUACAAUAAUAGUAAACUUGUAUAACUGAGGCCCAAAAAUAUUUGUAAUUAAUCCUGUUUUUAUAUGUGCAUUUAAUUGGCAGACAUCAUUUUCAAUAUACUUCAGCAGUUCAACUCUAUGUGAUUUACUCAGGUUAAAUAUGUUCCAAAUGAAUCAACCAUAUGUGUAUAUUUAUAGUUAGAAAUCAUCAAAAUAAAUGUAAGCCAUUAUCUAUUAGGGCCUACAUCUGUGAACAUCUGGAAAAACUUCUGUUCUUCUAAGUCAGCCUGUCCAAUUCAGUUCAUAAAGACUAGGCACUAAGGAGCAGUCAGUUCAUAAAAACUAGAAGUAUAAUUAGUUUAGUUAGGAAGCAUUCAGAUUCUGCCAUUGACAUCUCCAUCUUUACAGCAAUCAGUCCUCAUCCAACAUUAAAACAAACGAAUCUUGUCAAUGUUCAAAUGCAGCAGAAUUGUGUUUGGUCAUCCAUUCUUUGCAUGAACAAGGUGACUGUCAUUUUUUAUGAGUUUACUCUGUCUUUUUCUCUUCAGAAAACCAGAAAUUACUCCAGAGCUUUUAGGUCAAUAUUAACCUCUUUCAAGAAGGAAAAGAAUACCAAAGUGAUGGUCCUUUUUCUUGCAGAAAAUUUUGUGUUUCCUCAAAGGACCUCUAAUGCUUCACCUAAUCCUCUUUAACCCGGUCGUCGUUAGAAUUUAGAAACGUGGAUGGUUGUCCAGAGAAACUGACGCUUUGGACUUCAAAGUCAAGAUUCUUCAGUAGGAAAGAUAUUGGAAAACAAAAAGUGGGAGAUUUUGCAGGAAUCGCUUUUUUUGGAUUGCAGUUUUCCAAGAAAAAUUUUUAUGUAUUUUUUUAAUCAUAUUUCUUAUUCACCGUUUUACCUCAUAGACAUGAAACAUACGUCUAUUCUAUUCGCUACAUUAUAUUUUUCUAAAGAAACUCAAAAAUAGCAAUUGAAAUGAGUAAAUUUGAUAAAAGUUUAAUUAACCUCUAGACUGCUUUCAUGCCAUUGCAACUUACCCUUGAAUGACUUUUAUCGUUCAUGAUGAUCGAUAUGGAAAAAAAAAAAAAAGGGGCAAAUUGAAACUUAAGAUGUCACUAGAAUUCACUUUGGCAUUAAAAACAAAUUUUGCAAAACUGUUUCACCUAAUCGAUCGUGGUGAACUCAACAAUGGACUCAGGGAAUCAUUCAUGUCACGCUAAGAUUUGGAAAAAAAAAAACCAAAGCAAAGGUUUUUUCCGAGGUUUUUAUUCAAUUAUAAAAAAAAUAUUUUGAUUAUUCUAUGGAGAUUUUUCAAAGUAUAAGAGUUGAUCGUUAGAUUGUCAAUCCAAACAUACUCUUUACAGUGACAGUGUAUCGAUUUUGGGUGGAAAAAAAAAUCUAAAUCACAACAGAAAAGUUGCUUUUUUCAUAGCCCUAACCUUACUAAAAUUGAGAUUUAACUUGAAAUUGAUGAUAAUCAACUUUCACAUGUUGGCAAGUCCAGUGAAAACAACACUUUUUUUUUUCUACUUUAAUGUUGAUCAAAAACUGCAGCAUUGAGGUAAACAACCCGAGUCUUAUAUUUCCCACACAUUUAACGGUUAACCCAAACUCGACUUAUUUUUGGGUCAACAUUUCCCCCAAUGGGCCUCCUUAACACUUUGCCAUCCCAAUUUUGAUGCAGCUGUGAUUACUGAUUUGAACCCUUUUGGCUGUCUCGAGAAGCCAACGGCAACCGUGAAAGCUUCAUAAUGCAAGUUCUGAAACUCUACUCCAAGCUACUGAAUCAUGUGAGAACCAAAUGUGGGAUUUUUUUCAAUACGGAGGAGUGGAUUUGAGCAUAAGUUUGACAAGCUUCCACUAAAUAGUUGAAUGAUCUUUAAAGAGUCAUCAAAGAAAGCAUGCCACCAUUGUAGCUCACAGGUGACAAAUUACUAGAAUCAAGCAAUUUCCAUUUCUUAACUUUAGCUUUUGAGGAGCCAGCAAUCACAAUCCAUCAAAACCCGGUACAAGUACAAUUUUCAAAAUGUAGCCAUAUAGAUAUAUAUUAAGAAUUAACUCUAUACAAAUGGGUUAAAAGUUACAACUAGCACACUAACUACAUUCUUGAACCACAUCCCAAAACACCAUUGGUUCUUGUUUUCUGCACCCAAGUGUGCCAUUGCCAGUCUGUUAACAAAACAUGACUCUAGGCCAAAUUCUAAUCUGUUAGUGGUUUUAACUUCCACAAGCCAUGCACUCUUCCCUGUUUGCUAGGGAGCAUACCAUCUGGGCCAUUUUACUAUCAUCAUCAGCAGUUGUCUUUGGUUUAUCCUGCAUCAAAUACGUAAAUGCAGCACCUCAGCAAAACAAUACAGGUUAAAUGUGACAGUUGGGUUUUGUAGUUUAGCAGUACUUACCUUAAGCAUUGCAGUGUCUACUGUGAAUUUGAUGGCAUCCGCUGCAGCUCGUGAGCGCAGAUAAUACAUCCCUGUUUUUAAGCCCUUGAUAUCCACAUACACCAAAAAUUUGAGACAUAAGGUGUGAAAUACAGUAGUUUUGGACAAAGAAAUAGUUAGUUCUUGAAAACUGAUCUACUUGUGCUGCACCAAUGAUUAUAGCUUUGACUUUAUCAUACGAUUAAAAACACUAACCAAACACUUUCUAUUAUAGUAGUCCUUCAAACAUGGAACACUCGUAGCAUGACAUGUACAAAUAUUUCUUACAUAAAUUCAUAAAUUUAGUGAUGUUAGUAUUCAAACUCUUAAUUAACAUCACCCUCAACUAAUCAUUGUAUUGAUCCAACUAUACCUUUGACCAAGCAUGAAAAUGAAGCGAUGUAAGCUUCCCAAAGUUGGGUUGGUCCAUAUGAAUGUUAAGACUUUGACUUUGGUCUAUGUAGCAUCCACGAUCUACAGCCAUAUCAACCAAUGUCCGCUGUUUGAUCUCCCAAACAGUCCUGUUAGUACCAAAUUGAGUCAGCAUGUUGCAAUAAGGAAUGUGAGAAAAUAGGAAAAUAAGGCGUGUAAGAGCUCCAAAAUAAGAAGCAUACUUGUAUAUGGCUUUAAGAUCUUCAUGAAUUUCAGGGAUUUUCUGUACAGAGCCAUCCUCAUAGAUUAUCCUAUUCUUAAGUGCUGGAGUCCAAAGACCCAUCUCAGUUAAGUCAUGAAGCAGAUGCUUAUUCACCACAACAAACUCCCCACUGGAAGAACAGUAAAACACUCGGAUGUCAGCAAAUAAUACUCAAUUCAGAGUGCGCUCAAAUAGCAUCAAGAAAAUAUACCUUAGAACCCUGCGACUAUAGAUGUUGGAUGUAUAUGGCUCAAAGCACUCAUUAUUUCCAAGAAUCUGACUAGUAGAAGCAGUUGGCAUUGGUGCUAUAAGAAGUGAAUUUCGUACUCCAUUUGUUGCAAUCAUUGCCCGUAGAGCAUCCCAAUCCCACCUACUUGAAGGUGUUACUCCCCACAUGUCUGGCUGAAGAAUUCCCUGCAAACACAGUGGCCAGUGAUUACCCAGUAGAAACAUUGCAGAGAUGAAGAUAUCUUAGCUCAAAUACUUGCUCCAACUUUUUUAGCAUAACCAAGGGCUGCUCAAAAUGGAACUAGUAACUAUGUUGAACUUGUUUCAUCAUUUCAACCACAUAAAGACAAGGACUUUAGUUUGAAGAAGUCCAAUAACUAGCAGUAAUAAUUCCAGAUAUGCCAAAGCAAAAAACAAGCACAAAAGCACAUGUAAACCAGAUCGACAUAAAAAGUUAGUAACUAAACAAUAAGACAUCAUAUGACUACUGGUGUCACUGUAAGGAAUCUUUAGAAUACCUUGCUCACAGGACUUCCAUCAUAAGUUUCAUAUGGGCCAUCUUUAGCAGCUAAUUCAGAAGAAGAUUUUAAUGCAUAAUAGUAUAUGGUCUCAAAUAUGUCCUUGUUCAGCUGUUGAGCCUGUCAGAACAAUUGGCUGCAUGAUCAGACUGCAGUGAAUCAGAAAUUCCAGCAAAUAAGCAAAAGGUACAAAAUUUACCUCAGGUGAGUCAAAGGCCAUGCCAAGCAAUAUGAAAGUGUCAGCAAGGCCCUGGACUCCAAUGCCAAUGGGCCUGUGUCGAAAGUUGGAUCGCUUUGCAGUAUCAACAGGGUAGUAAUUGAUGUCAAUUAUUUUGUUCAGAUUUGAAGUAACUAUUGCAGUAACCUGUUUCAAAGAACAAACCAAAGCCAAAUCCACACUUCAUGUUUAUGACAAACGCUCAUAUUUCAAAGCAACAGGAAAUUAAUGGAAUAAAUAUAACCUCUGCUAGCUUGUCAAAGUCAAAGAAUCGAUUUGCAGAACCUCUGCUGCCAACAAGUUUGGACGGUUGUGAUUCAGAUGUGAAUCCCUACAAAAAUAAAAUAAAUAAAACAGCCCUUGCUCAAUAAUCAAUUAAGGGAAUUUUUAGAAAGAGCAACUUUAAUUGAAAACAUCUGCCUAUGAUAACUACCUUUUCUCUAACAUAUCGUGGCAGAGCAAUUGAAGCCAAAUUGCACACAGCAGUUUCUGUAGGACUUGUGUAUUCAAUGAUCUCGGUACACAAGUUAGAAGAUUUAAUUGUCCCCAGGUUCUGCUGGUUGCUUUUUCUAUUGCAAGUAUCCUGAGAGAAAGCAAACAAAAAGGUGGGUAGAAUAACUCACAAACAAGCAUAAGCGCCAAAUUUAGCCAUAAGAAAUGCCCGAACUCCACUAACCUUGUACAGCAUGUAAGGUGUUCCAGUUUCAAUCUGGGAUUUCAGGAUUUCAAACCAGAGAUUCUGUGCCUGAACAACUUUUUUUGCCUUACCCUAUGAAAAGAAGUCACUCUUAGAUAAAACCACUCCCAGAGAAUGCAAGGACAAACUAGUAAUAUCUGAUUGUCUGGCUAUAUACCUGUUUUUCAUAUUGAGUGUAGAGCCUUUCAAAUUCUGUGCCCCAGCAAUCAGCCAACCCAGGGGCCUCAUUUGGGCAAAACAAGGUCCAUUGUUCAUUCUUCUGUACUCUUUCCAUAAAGAGAUCAGGCACCCAGAGAGCAUAAAACAGAUCUCGAGCCCGGUGCUCUUCCUGCAAACCAAGAAACUCUCACUGCCAAUUAGCCAUUAAUCAAACAAAAAUCCAAAAGCAUCAAAGUACCAUCAAAAGCUAAUUAAAAUACAGACUAUGUACAUGGUUGGAUUCAUAUGAUUAAUAUGUAGAGUCAUGCAUACAACUGAGUCAACAAAUCAACCACAUACCUUCCCAUGGUUUUUCCUUAAAUCCAAAAAUUCAAAGAUAUCAGCAUGCCAUGGCUCCAGAUAUACAGCAAAUGCACCUAUUGACAGUAGAAAGCUGAAAUAAAUCAAAUAGAGGAACCACCUUAACAAGGGAUAUACCAGAGGGCACAUAAAACUGUUGCAUACCCUUCCUCUUGCCACCGCCUUGAUCAACAUAACGAGCAGUAUCAUUGAAUACUCGCAGCAUUGGAACAAUACCAUUGGAUGUUCCAUUUGUUCCACGAAUAUAACUUCCUGUGGCACGGAUGUUAUGAACAGAUACACCAAUGCCCCCAGCUGAUUUGCUGAUAACAGCACAUUCCUUGAGGGUAUCAUAAAUGCCCUCAAUACUAUCCUCUUUCAUGCACAACAGGAAGCAGCUACUCAACUACCAUCCACAGCACAUAACCAUGUUAGAACGCAUAUUGUUGGAGGCACAAAUCAUAUGGAAACUGAAAAUGAGAAUAUCUCAGAGAUGCAGAACUAAAAAGAUUAAUUUUCUUGCAUAGUACAGUCAAUGCAAGUGUAACUUCUAAGUUUCAAAAUUUAGCUUACUUGUGGCCUUGGAGUUCCAGCAUUAAAAAGGGUAGGAGAAGCAUGAGAAAACCAUCGCUGAGACAUCAGGUGAUAAGUUCUUAAAGCAGAAUCAAUAUCAUCCUUGUGGAUUCCAACAGCUACCCUCAUCAACAUAUGCUGUGGCCUUUCAACAACCUUUCCUUGGACUUUUAAGAGGUAAGACCGCUCAAGUGUUUUGAAGCCAAAGUAAUCAUAGUCAAAGUCUCGGUCAUAAAUGAUCUCACUGUCCAGACGAGCAGCAUUCUGAAACAAACAUUACAUCAAUUAUGCCACUUGAGAAUACAGGAAUACAAGCUAAAAAUAUAAUAUGAAAACCUGCAAUCAACUGAAUCUUCUCGAUUGGCUUAUGUUUGGUGCAACAUGCACAAAUGUGUACAUCUGUGUGUUUCAGAGGCAGAGCAUCAACAGAAUGCCAAAAAGGAUUUCUUACCUUCAUGAUUAUCUCAUAAACAUCAUCAGCAAUCAAAGGAGCUUUAAGGCCUGAUCUUUCACUGACAUGGCCAUACAUGUCCUUGACCCUGCAGCCACCACAGGAAGAUUUAAAAAUUAUGUGAUAUAUUUCAAACUCAAAAUUCAAACCUGAUAUAUAGAAUUGGCAAAAUCCCACAAGGACUCACGUCUCAGAAAAUGAUUUCUUGGUGUUUUUGUGCAGAUUUGAAACAGCAAUUCUUGCAGCCAACUGUUGAAAACAAUAAUCAACAGUAAGUAAAGCCAAUAUUAGCUUCCAUUCCAACCACAAACUCUCAUACUGAUGACAAAUGUGUAAAAAUUACUAGUUCACUUAAUCUACCCAUCCGUCAACAAUUUGACCCCGUAGCCAACAAUAAUCAAUAUAAGCAACAACCACACAACAUAAACACCACAAAAAACUCAACAUCCUCAAGUGGGUUUGGCUACUAUUCAUUCAUUGCGCAAUUCAUUCAACCGGAGAGAACCAGAUAACUCAAAAUCAUUACAAUAAAUCAUAUAAUUAGAAAAGAUAUAGAUCUAGAACAUGCUCAUAUGAGUACAUCAACACACACAUAAAACAGAAUCUGCAAUAAAGUUAACAGAGCCUUGAACCAAAACAGCAAAAAUCGAUAAUCCAAGUUGAGAAAAAACAAAAUCCUUAAUCAAUUAAUUAACCAUCAUAUAGAAUCCAAUUGUUAAAAGAUCUGAUCACAAUUAGAGAAACAAAAGAAAAAAUGGAAAGCCCAGAAGGAGAUUUUACAGAAAACUACUCACUGAAGCAUAAUCAGGGUGGUUAGCAGUCAUGGCCGCGGCGGUCUCAGCAGCCAACUCAUCAAGCUGACUAGUAGUAACCCCCUUGUAGACGCCGGCGCAGACCUUCUGGGAAACCAAAACCGGGUCGCAGUGGUCGCUGCUGAGCCCAUAACUCAACUUCUUCAACCGGGCAGUAAUCUUGUCAAAAUGCACAGCUUCUUGCCUCCCAUCUCUCUUCACCACAUACAUCUCUUCUCAAAAUUAGCAAAACGGAUAACUGCCUUUUCUCUGGGGAAUUUCGUCAAACGGCUUAGAGGCUACAGAGCAAAAUGACGAUAGAAGAUGGCAUAUAUAUAUAUAGUGGGAAAAACAAGAAACCGGCUUUUUAAAUUUGAAAUCUGUACUUAAAAAUUGAAAGGGUCUACUGGGCUUCUGGUUUUUCCCUCUAAAAAAGAAGAAUUUAGACGACGGGAUUUGAAAUUUUCCCGCCAAGAAGCAGCAAGGUUUGGUGGCGGGCACUGAGGAAAAGGCGCCUGCAGUGCUGGUUGGACUGGAUGGGGGUGGAGCAGGAGCUGGGGUCCACUUGGGCGUGCUUUUUUCGCCUUUUACAACUAAUGCUGAAAAGGAAAGAAUGGAAGUGAUUAGGCUAAUACGCAUCGAAAGGCACAAUGGGGAUAUAUUUACGUUCAUGUACCACAAUUGUUGUGAAUGAAUGGGGGGUGGAAGUAAAGCUUCCAUUGAAAGUUUUGGAAACGUUGGACCUGAUAAAACUUGGCGUUUGAAUUUCAAGAUUCAUCCUUCUUGUGGAAGCUUGGGAGUUGGAACGGUAGUAAUCAAUUGGUUUCUUUAUAUUUUUUUUUUCUUUCUUGGGACUAUUUACAAAGUUGGGGAAGUCAUCUUACAAGUCACAAUUUUUGGAUCAGAGAUUAUUAAAAAAAAGAAUGUUUGUCGAAAUGAAAAGAUAUUUAUGAUGCAAUUAUAAAAAAUUCCCGAUUGGAUUGCUAUUUUCUUGAGUUUUUGUAGAAAAAUAUACGAUAGCAAUUUAAUGUAUGUAAAGUAAAAGAUGAUCGAGAAAUAUAUUUAUAAAAAAACGUAAAAUUUUUUUGAGAAAAAAUAACAAUACAACGUACCAUCCAAGCAAACCUGGCUCUUUUCUCGAAAAUUUUCUGAACAAAUGGAAAAACAAAAAAUGAAGGCGAGUUCUUGAUAUGCGGAAAUAAUUACACUUAUUGAAAUUUACAAUAAUAAAUCAUACAUUAAUUAAUCUUUGUAGAUUUAUUAGAUGAAGUGUUCAACGAGAGUGACAAUUAAGUGCAACAAUAUAUAGGCCGGCAUAGAUUUCUCUAGUUGUGUUAGCCUUUCUAUGCCAAAUGUCCUUUUUUAACCUCAAAAACAGUAAAAGACCAAUAUCAAAAGAGACAUUUUGUCUCAUGCGUGAUAGAACAAAACACGUUAGUCUGAUUUAGAUAUAACAAAACACGUUGGUGUGAUUUAGGGCUGCUCACGGCCAGCAGAUCAAUAUCGAGAUCGAGUUCAAAAAUAUUAAACUUGUUAGACUCGCUAGUUCGAUUAUAUAUAUAUUUUUUUUAUUUUUUAUUUUAAUGAUAAAAUUACAUAUAUAUAUAUCUCUAAUAUUUUAUUAUUUAUUAAAAAUUUAUUAUUUUAUUCAUUUUUAAAAAUAAAAUAAUUAUUUUUAUUUUUUAAAAUAAAAAAAAUUAUUAUUAUUUUAUUUUGUAAGCUCGAGUUCGAGCUUCAUAAAAUUAAUUAAAGAUUAAGCUCGUUUGCACCCUGUGAUUUGAGCUAGCCUCUUUAGAACCUAGAUACUGUGCAAAGGGGCGUAAAUUUUCUCAAUUACCAAUUGACAAGCAACAGUAUACAACCAGUGUGUGAAAUAUAUAGGUAUCUGGUUUCAUGCAAGUUUUCAACAGUCAACCAGAUUAAACUGUCGAGUUUAACUCUAGCUUCCUGUCAUCAACCAGGACUUCGGGUAUAAUACAAUGGAAUGGUUGUUAUAAAUCAAAAAAAUCACUACUCUGACAAUCAAACAAUUCUGUUUAGAGGGAUUCUUUCAUUUUGUCGAGCAACUCGGUCUGCAGGAGAUAUC
rnacentral:lncRNA from 1 species